rnacentral:rRNA from 1 species
GUCCACGCUGUAAACGAUGAUGACUAACCGUCGGCGAUACACAGUCGGUGGCCAAGCGAAAGCGAUAAGUCAUCCACCUGGGGAGUACGACCGCAAGGUUGAAACUCAAAGGAAUUGACGGGGGGCCCGCACAAGCGGAGGAACAUGUGGUUUAAUUCGAUGAUACGCGAGGAACCUUACCCUGGCUCGAACGGCAGAUGAAUUGAGUAGAGAUAUUCAAGUCUUCGGACAUCUGUCGAGGUGCUGCAUGGUUGUCGU